GCCUUGGUCAUCUAAGGGCAGGUCCACAGAAGUGAUAUAAAGAGAUUAGAGUAGAGGAUGGCUAAAGGCAAAGGAGAUGGAACAGCUUUCCACUGGAUGGAACAACAUUCCACUGGAUGCCUGAGUUUGGCUCAAGAUACCUUUUGUCAGUCCUUCUGAUGUACCCUCCUUGGUGUGGUACAAGUUGGAGCCAGAAGAAAUGGAGCAGAUAAAAGUAAUGCAGGAUCAAGGCCCUUUGCGACCAUGAACAAACACUAUGAUGUCUCCCAGCAAACCCUUGACCUCCAGAGGCUCUGCUUUGACCCAGAAGUUAGCCUGAAAGUUGAACAAAGCGAAGGGGCUGAAGGUUGUAGAGCUGUGGCCAGAAGGGAAUCCAUGUCAACUUUCCUGGGGACCUCUGACCCUGGGAGCCUGAGUUACCCAGCAGUGCCUGUCUGCGGGAAGUAGCAGCCAUGCGGAGGACCACAUGCUCUGCCUUCUCUUCUUUCUGUGUCCCUCACCUGUGCCUAGAGGUCUCCUUUCCUUCUUCUGAACUGCUUACCUGUUUGCCUGGUCUGGGGUCUCUUUCUUACCAUCUUCUGCUCUCUCAGCUUUCUCUAACAUGUUGCUAUGUUCUGGAUGUUUGUGUCCCCCAUCCCACCCUGGAAAAUUAUAAAAAUCCUGACACCCAAAGAUGACAGUAUCAGGAGGUGGGUUUUUGGGAAAUGCUUAGGUCAUGAGGAUGCAACACUCCUGAAUGGGAUGAGUGCCCUUAUAUAAAGGGCUCCAGAGAGAUCCCUAACCCUUUCUACCAUGUGAGGACAUAACAAGAAAGUGCCAGGUAUGAACCAGGAAGAGGGCCCUCAUCAGAAAGCGACCAUGCUGCUGCCUUGAUCUAGACUUUAAGCCUACGGAAUGGAUAGCAGUAAGUUUCUGUCAUUUACCAGACACCUAGUUGGUAGUAUUUUGUUAUAGUAGCCUGAAUAGACUAAGACUCAGGCCUUCCCAUGGGUGUGUUCUAGGAAGCAGGAAUCCCGCUCCUUUCCAGGAUCAGAGUGAACACCUUGAGCCAGGUGCUGGUGUCCUGGACCGAGAAGGGUCCUCCAGCCCAGGGUUUCAUGCUGAGACAGGUCUUCCUACUCCCUUCUGAGACAAGGCUUCCCUCCCUUGUUCUGAGAGGGAGCCUCCUUUUCUUGAACCAGAUGUAUCCCACCCCCAAUCUCAGGUGGCCUUAAUGGCUUUCCUGCCCCAUGCUGAGGGCUGAGGUCCUGUUCCUUUGGCUGAAUGCCAGGAGCUGGGCCCUCCUUGGGAGACACCAGGGUUCCCUGAGUCAGGGGGCCAGAAGUGGGUGACUGCCAGUGAGCAGAGAGCGUUCCUGGGGCAGGGAUGGAAGGCAGAGGGCAGAGGUGCUUGAGAAUGAAGGACAGGCCUCUCAGAGGAACUUCCCCCUCCCCUCCCUCCACACAUCUCAUCAACCUGACUGGUCCUUCAGGGGAACCCUGGUGAGCCUGACAUGGAUAUAAUCCCUCAGGCGAGGAACCAACUGAGAUAAUCACAGGUGCACAGGGGCCAUCAGGAGAGAGGGCAGUGGUCAUAAGAGGAGACCACAGACCCUCAGCCCUAUGCUGACCUGGGGCUUGACCCUUUACUCCUUCUGGGACAGGUCUCCUGCCCCCGUGGUUGCCUUGUUCUCCAUGCCCAGCUCGAAUUGAGCUCACACAGGUGACAAAGUUUCAACCAGCAUCCAAUGGGCCCCCAGCCCAACACAUGCAUGUUUUCCAUUCCUACCUUGGGUGACAGGGCAGAUGAAGGAAAAGGCUGCAGCCAUGAAGCCAUUUCCUCCUUCUCUCUUCCUCCCUGACCCCACCACCAUGGUAGAGCUUCUUUCCCUUCCCUUUGCUUUGCUUUCUCUUCAUUCUUUGUCUCUACUCCCCUGUGUCUCUCUUACGUCUCCCCUCCUACCUUUACCCCGUCUUCUGUCUUCACCCCCCUCCCUCUCUGCCUCCUGGGCCUUGUCUCACUCAUCUCCCUGCCCCAGCAUCCUGGGCCAUCCCAGGAUGGGCGGUGGGGGUCAUGGUCCUGCAGAAUGCUGGACCCCUAGUGAGGUAGCAGAGCCCUGGGCUCCCACCCCAUUCCCUCUUCUCUCUGGAGCCUUUGGUAGGGACUUGAAGGAAGGGAGGGAAGCAGAAACGUGAAGACAACCCUAGAGUCUGGGUUCCAAAUGUUGCUUCUGGUGGUAUUGGAGAAAGGAGUCAGGACUGUCUGGGUGGAUGCUACAUAGGGGAAAGGAAAUGGAGGAGAGAGAGGAAGAAUAUGAGGGGUGCAGAAGACAUGGGAGGGAAGAGGAAAAGGAGAAAAUGUGCUUUUCCUCUGGGUCAGUCCACAGGGGAGGUGUGCAGGGCCCUGGUGUCUUGGACAUGUGGUGUAGGUGGGACACACCGGGCUGUGUGCCCAUGCCUGUCUAACCUGCACAUCCUGGGUGUUAGGGACACAGGUUGUGGAGUGAUGGCUCUCACCCCAAAUCCUUACUUUCUGAACUUGGCCCAUUACUUAACCUCUCAUUUUCCUCAUUUGCAAAAGGGGCCUAAUAAUGUCCAUCUUUUGGGCUGCUGUAAAAGUUGAAUCAAACGACCUUGUGAAGUGACUGUCACAGGGUCUGUACAUAGUAACAAUCCCUGUCACUGGAAGCAGAUCUUCCUAUUGUUGCCCUCCCCAUCCUGACACCUUGAUUCCCAGAGAACAAUUGUCUUCUUCAGCAUGAGUAUCAUCAUAAGACCCUGAUAGGGAAUGCUGUGUGAUGGUGUCAAGCAUAUGUAAUUCGAAGGGGGUAUUGUUGUUUGUUGUUGAAGUGGAAAGAAAGCCUUAGGGUUCCGUUCAUAACUUCUUCCCAUACCCCCUCCCAACCCAGUUUCAUUGAUAUAUAAGUGACAUUCACCUUUUUGUAAGUUUAUCUGUACCUUCAUCCAGACCUCCACUGCUACCCCCACCAGCAAUUCCAGGUGAAUGCUGUGUUGUGGGUGGAACUCCCACAACCCUUUAAGGUUAUGGGGAAUGUGGUUCCUCAGUCCUCGGUGUUUUCUCAAUAUUGUGGAAAACCAACAGGUAGAUCCAAAGAGUCUAGCCUAGUGGUUAAGGGCAUGAGGGUAUAGAAUAGGAAUAUGGGUUCUUUCCCAGACCCAAAACAUACUAGCUGUGUGACUUUGGUCAAGACAUUGCUGUGACUCAGUGUCUUACUCUGAAAAUGGAGUUAGACAGUCCAGUCCUUAGGCCAUUUUAUGGAGUAAAUGAGACUAUAAAACCAUCCCUGGGGGAUCCCUGGGUGGCACAGCGGUUUGGCGCCUGCCUUUGGCCCAGGGUGCGAUCCUGGAGACCCGGGAUCGAAUCCCACGU